AUUGAACGCUGGCGGCAUGCUUUACACAUGCAAGUCGAACGGCAGCACAGGGAGCUUGCUCCUGGGUGGCGAGUGGCGAACGGGUGAGUAAUGUAUCGGAACGUGCCUGGUAGUGGGGGAUAACUACUCGAAAGAGUGGCUAAUACCGCAUGAGAUCUUUGGAUGAAAGCGGGGGACCUUCGGGCCUCGUGCUACUGGAGCGGCCGAUAUCAGAUUAGGUUGUUGGUGGGGUAAAGGCCUACCAAGCCUGCGAUCUGUAGCUGGUCUGAGAGGACGAUCAGCCACACUGGGACUGAGACACGGCCCAGACUCCUACGGGAGGCAGCAGUGGGGAAUUUUGGACAAUGGGCGCAAGCCUGAUCCAGCAAUGCCGCGUGCAGGACGAAGGCCUUCGGGUUGUAAACUGCUUUUGUACAGAACGAAAAGUCUCUGGCUAAUAUCUAGAGAUCAUGACGGUACUGUAAGAAUAAGCACCGGCUAACUACGUG
rnacentral:rRNA from 1 species